UGGGGAAUAUUGCGCAAUGGGCGAAAGCCUGACGCAGCGACGCCGCGUGGAGGAUGAAGGUCUUAGGAUUGUAAACUCCUGUCAGGUGGGAAGAAAAGAUUUAUUUUUAAUAGAGAUAAGUUAUGACGGUACCAUCAGAGGAAGCACCGGCUAACUUCGUGCCAGCAGCCGCGGUAAUACGAAGGGUGCAAGCGUUAUUCGGAAUCACUGGGCGUAAAGGGUGCGUAGGCGGUAUGUUAAGUUUGUCGUUAAAGACUCUAGCCUAACUGGAGGGUUGCGAUGAAAACUGGCGUACUAGAGGAUGAGAGAGAGAAGUGGAAUUCCUGGAGUAGCGGUAAAAUGCGUGGAUCUCAGGAGGAACACCAAUGGCGAAGGCAGCUUCUUGGCUCAUAUCUGACGCUGAGGCACGAAAGCGUGGGGAGCAAACAGGAUUAGAUACCCCCGUAGUCC
rnacentral:rRNA from 1 species